rnacentral:ncRNA from 1 species
AAAACAGCGUUGACGAGGAGGAGUACAUACACCCCUGAAAAGUAGAGAGAAGAUGUCUGGUGAAAAUCUUCAUGAAGUGUGUAUGGAAGUAGCCUUUGAGCUUUGAACCGAAAAGAUGCGGACAUGAUCUGAGUAGACUUCAACGGCAUUUUCCACCGUUAUAGGGAAAACGAUAUCGGACCCUUGAGCACAGCUCUGUGAGUUCCCGUAUUGGUAGAGUGCAGAUUUUUAUAAUCUGAAUUUAGGUGGUACCACGGACGCAUAAGCAUCCGCCCUAAGA